rnacentral:rRNA from 1 species
AUGGAAACACCAAACACUUGUUCUUUUUGUUCUCUGUUUGAUAGCCUUAUGACGGACAGAGGUGAUGGACCAAUUGGUAGUCUCCCUGAACAUCUCCUUGUAGAAAUAUUGGCUCGGUUACCAACCCACGAGUGGGUUCAAAUAUCAUGUGUCAGCAAGCAUUGGGCAAGCAUGUUCCGAGGAGAAUACUUGUGGCAAACCGCUAUUGCAAGGAAAUGGCCAUCAGCUGGUUUCCGGAAACGCUGGCCUGGGCCAAUUCCCAGAGGCUCUGCUAGGAGAAGAUUCCAAGCACUUUAUGUCAGCGAAAACCUUGUACCAUCUGGUGGGGAGAUUGACGAGCUUGUUGGUCACACAUAUCUCUAUCUAAAAGAACAACUUGAGCGUGUUGCCGUUCCUCCAUCCAGCAUACUUCAUGGCACCAUCAUUGAUCAGUUCAUUGCUUGUGGUAGGACAGGAGAGAAGGCCCAUGAACUUGCUUCGAAUAUAUGGAUUGCAGUCAUUGACAAUUUGGAAGAAAACCAGCAGACGUUCAUGCUGUUAAAACACCUAGCGCAAGAAGGAGAUUUUUUCCUUCCAUUUCCAUAUUCGAGGUCGUAUAAAGUACUGUGGAGGGUGUUUGACAAGCUGUUCACCGACUUCCGUGACUGUUUCAACGGGGCAGAUUACCAUGAGGCGCUAGCAGGUGCCAAGUCUAGGUUUCAGCCAGUACCUUCUUCAUGGCUUGGACAUUAG